rnacentral:rRNA from 1 species
GGACACUUGCGGGGGUAGAGCACUGUAAUCGUUGGGGGGGUCAUUGCGAUCUACCCCGCGAUAGCAAACUCCGAAUACCGCAAAGUGAUAUACGGCAGACAGACAUCGGGUGCUAACGUCCGGUGUCAAGAGGGAAACAACCCAGACCGCCAGCUAAGGUCCCAAAUGCAUGGCUAAGUGGCAAACGAGGUGGGAAGGCAUAGACAGCUAGGAGGUUGGCUUAGAAGCAGCCAUCCUUUAAAGAAAGCGUAAUAGCUCACUAGUCGAGUCGUCCUGCGCGGAAGAUGUAACGGGGCUCAAGCCAUGAACCGAAGCUGCGGAUGUGUCUUUGACACGUGGUAGGGGAGCGUUCCGUAAGCCUGCGAAGGUGUCUCGUAAGGGAUGCUGGAGGUAUCGGAAGUGCGAAUGCUGACAUGAGUAGCGAUAAAGGGUGUGGAAAAAGCACCCUCGCCGUAAGCCCAAGGUUUCCUGCGCAACGUUCAUCGGCGCA